GCGGACGUGGCGGAAUUGGCAGACGCGCUAGAUUUAGGAUCUAGUGUCACCGACGUGGGGGUUCAAGUCCCUUCGUCCGCACCA
rnacentral:tRNA from 11 species